rnacentral:ncRNA from 1 species
CGGAUGGAGACUCUUGAGUCUCCAUAAAACGCUAGGCAUCCUUUUUAUUAAAAGAGGAUGGUGAUAUAGUCCAAAAUUAAACAUACUUCAUUAGUAUUGUGUAAUACCGGCCAGCAGGAGCGGUAAUACGAAGGCCCCAAGCGUUAUCCGGAAUUACUGGGCGUAAAGAGCGAGUAGCUGGUGAUGUUAGUCCGGUGUUAAAUCUCGAGGCUCAACCUCGAGGCCGCAUUGGAAACGGCAUUACUAGAGCGGGUGAGAGGCAAGCAGAACGUGCGGUGUAGGGGUGAAAUCCGUUGAUAUCGCACGGAAUACCAAAAGCGAAAGCAGCUUGCUAGCGCCGCGCUGACAGUCAAUCGCGAAAGCGUGGGGAUCAAAAAGGAUUAGAUACCCUUGUAGUCCACGCCCUAAACGAUGCAGGCUAGCUAUUAGGAGCAUCGACCCUCCUGGUGGCGAAGCUAACGCGUUAAGCCUGCCGCCUGGGAAGUACGAGCGCAAGCUUAAAACUCAAAGAAAUAGACGGGGAUCCGCACAAGCGGUGGACCAUGUGGUUUAAUUCGACUCUAAGCGAAGAACCUCACCAGGGCUUGAAAUCCAGACGAAAGUUUCGGGAAACCGAGACCCUCGCAAGACGGCUGGACAGGUGCUGCACGGCCGUCGUCAGCUCGUCAUGUGAAUGGUUCCAUUAAGUUGGGAAACGAGCGCAACCCCUGUCGCGUGUUACUUAUGUCACGCGAGACUGCCCAGUUCCUAACCUGCAAGGCAGGUAAAUCUCAAAAAUCCAAAUCUCAAAUAGCAAAUAAAUUCCAAAAUUGAAUAUUGUUUGUGAUUUGUUGUUUAGUGCUUGGGAUUUACCGAUUUUGUCGGUUGUGAACUGGGAGGAAGGCGGGGACGACGUCAGGUCAGCGUGGCCCUUUGAUGCCCUGGGCUACACACGUGGUACAAUGGACAGUACAAUGGGUCGCUAAGGCGCGAGCCGGAGCCAAUCCCACCAAAGCUGUCCCCAGUUCGGAUAAGAGGCUGCAACUUGCCUCUUUGAAGUUGGAAUCGCUAGUAAUCGCAGAUCAGAACGCUGCGGUGAAUACGUUCCCGGAUCUUGUACUCACAAUGAAAGCGCCCGGCAGGUUAAUAUUCUAGAUGGUUAAAAUCCAUC